CGCCGCUCCUAUCGCCGCCUGCAGGAGCGCCGCGCCAAGGAGAUAAAGAAUCCACGGUCCCCAGGGGCGAGGCCGACGCGGAGAGAGCUGCGGUGCGGAGUGUCCAGAUACUUGAUUAAAUCUUGAACCACGGCAUUAGCUUUCCCCUGGAUCUUCAGCCUGCUGGUCCACUCUGCAGAUUUUGGAUUUGCCAGCCUCUGUAAUCAUUGAAUGGAUAUCUAUUGACGACCUGCUGCGUCCUGGUCGGUGCUAGAUGAUGCCAAUACUGAGUCAUGACCCAGCAAAUGCCUUCAAGGAGCUCAUGAACUAGUACAGAAUUUACACAUACCUGUUAUUACACUGAAGACAAAGAAACACCUGCUUUUCUCACAUUCUUCGAAGACCAAGCUGAGGUGAAGAGGGAACAUGCGAAGCAGUUCAUAAGAUAUCUAAAAAAAUAUAAGUGUAAAGUCUGCCUUCCAGUGAUUAAGAGGCUGGAUAUAGAAAACUGGGGAACUGGCAAAAAAGCUAUCGAGUCUGCCCUGCAGUUGGAGAAUACAUUAAGCAGCCUUCUGCAAGACCUGAAGGCCUUGGCUUCUCGGAAGAAACAAGCCAGUCUCGCACGCUUCAUGAAGAAGUUCCUGGAUGAACAGAUCAGGAACAUAAGCUACCUGGAAUACCAGCUUGGCUAUCAGGAGGAAUUAGAGAAGAUGGCAAAGAAUGAAGGACAGGUUGAAAAGGCUGCUGUGGCAUCUGAAGCAUCAGGUAAAGAGACACCUGAAGGCAACACAGCACGUCUUCCCACCCAGCAGGUCCCAAGCCCAGAAUCUUGAUCUUCUCCAUUUAACAGAAGACUGCUUUCCUUUUCAUCUAGAAUCCUAAUCCUCAUUGUUGGCAUGCAAAUAAACCUGUUUUGCAUUAUAAUCAUGUGUAAGGAGAUUGCUGUUGGAGUACAAGAAGGGUUAGUUCCAUUAAUGUGAGUUUGGUGAAAGCUUCCUGAGGGACAGUAGGUGCAUUAGAUUAAAAAAAAAAAAAAAAAAAGGCCUCCCCUGUUUCCAACAACACCCAGAGACAGAGGCAGGAUUUGUUAAAUCCAGCCAAUCCAAGUGGAUAGAGUAGAAAUUAAGUAGUAAAACCUUAGGUUCCUGGCAGGAGGUAGGAGAAGGGAACAGGAAGGUACAUAAGCAAGUAAGACACUACAGACAAGUUUGGAUGCCCCUACCUUCUACACUGUAGACCGUCUAGCAGCUACUGGGGUGAUUGCUUUGAGCAGAAAACAGUGAGCAUGCAAGCUUGGAUCAGACCCAAGGGCUUCAGGUGGCAAGUACCACCUGGGAAAAAGCAGGCUGUAUAGGAUUGUGCCCUGGCUGCAAAACUUACUAGCUCCAUGGCCUUGAGUAAGUUUUUAUUUACCUCACUCAUUGAGGCAGUUUAGUCAUCUGUAAAGUACGGUUAAUAUUAUAUAGUUCAUAAAGUUAACAAGACGAUUGAGUAAAUUAAUAUGUAAAGUAUCUAAAAACAGCACCUGCUCAGAUUGUGUAUUUGUAUAGUAAGUAGUGCCACUUCUGAAACGUGAGGAAAGCCAAUACGUAACAGAAGCACUUACAACAAGAAAACAGAUUACUGAAAUUGCGACAGAAUCUUAAAACAUUUAAUCUUAAAGGAAUCUUGUUGGAAACAAGAACAGGUGGUCAUAGGAAAGAACUACCUUGGAGAAAUUCAAGUCAACAAAUGGGUUGAUUAUUCAAAUAAACACAGCUAAUCAAACAAGUGAUCCAGAAGUAAGCCAAACAAUUCUCUGACAAAGGAGUAAAGAAACAGUAUUUAAAAUGUUAAGACAUGGAAUUCCAACAAAAGAUCUAACUAGAGCUCCAGGAGGAAAGACAUUGAGAAAGAACCAGUAUGGUGAAAUUUUAGAGCAUCAAGGAUGAAAAAGUUUGCCAUAAAAGGCAUUACUUAAAAGGAAAAACUGACAUAUUAAUAAGACCUUCACUGUGAAUAACAUUAUUGUUUUAACAGCAAAAUAUAAGGGCAUGGGCUUUACAUGCAAGUCCAACGUAGCCUGGCUGAUUCUAACCUUUUUUGUUAUUGUUCAAAAAUAAAUAGCUGAGAUUUUUUCAUGUU